AUUGAACGCUGGCGGCAGGCUUAACACAUGCAAGUCGAGCGGAGAUGAGGUGCUUGCACCUUAUCUUAGCGGCGGACGGGUGAGUAAUGCUUAGGAAUCUGCCUAUUAGUGGGGGACAACAUUCCGAAAGGAAUGCUAAUACCGCAUACGCCCUACGGGGGAAAGCAGGGGAUCUUCGGACCUUGCGCUAAUAGAUGAGCCUAAGUCGGAUUAGCUAGUUGGUGGGGUAAAGGCCUACCAAGGCGACGAUCUGUAGCGGGUCUGAGAGGAUGAUCCGCCACACUGGGACUGAGACACGGCCCAGACUCCUACGGGAGGCAGCAGUGGGGAAUAUUGGACAAUGGGCGGAAGCCUGAUCCAGCCAUGCCGCGUGUGAAGAAGGCCUUUUGGUUGUAAAGCACUUUAAGCGAGGAGGAGGCUACCUGGAUUAAUACUCUAGGAUAGUGGACGUUACUCGCAGAAUAAGCACCGGCUAACUCUGUGCCAGCCGCCGCGGUAACAC
rnacentral:rRNA from 1 species